GUAUUGGCCUACCGUGGCGAUGACGGGUAACGGGGAAUUAGGGUUCGAUUCCGGAGAGGGAGCCUGAGAAACGGCUACCACAUCUAAGGAAGGCAGCAGGCGCGCAAAUUACCCAAUCCUAAUACAGGGAGGUAGUGACAAGAAAUAACAAUACAGGACUUUUUGGUUUUGUAAUUGGAAUGAGUUAAGUAUAAACCCCUUUACAAGUAUCAAUUGGAGGGCAAGUCUGGUGCCAGCAGCCGCGGUAAUUCCAGCUCCAAUAGCGUAUAUUAAAGUUGUUGCAGUUAAAAAGCUCGUAGUUGGAUUUCUGUUAAUAAUUUAUAUAAAAUAUUUUGAAUAUUUAUAUAACAUUAACAUAAUUCAUAUUACUAUAUUUUUUAGUAUAUGAAAUUUUACUUUGAGAAAAUUAGAGUGCUUAAAGCAGGCAUAUGCCUUGAAUACUCCAGCAUGGAAUAAUAUUAAAGAUUUUUAUCUUUUUUAUUGGUUCUAAGAUAAGAAUAAUGAUUAAUAGGGACAGUUGGGGGCAUUUGUAUUUAA
rnacentral:rRNA from 1 species